GUGGGGAAUAUUGGACAAUGGGCGAAAGCCUGAUCCAGCCAUGCCGCGUGUGUGAAGAAGGUCUUCGGAUUGUAAAGCACUUUAAGUUGGGAGGAAGGGCAGUAAGUUAAUACCUUGCUGUUUUGACGUUACCGACAGAAUAAGCACCGGCUAACUUCGUGCCAGCAGCCGCGGUAAUACGAAGGGUGCAAGCGUUAAUCGGAAUUACUGGGCGUAAAGCGCGCGUAGGUGGUUUUGUAAGUUGGAGGUGAAAUCCCCGGGCUCAACCUGGGAACUGCCUCCAAAACUGCAUGACUAGAGUACGGUAGAGGAUAGUGGAAUUUCCUGUGUAGCGGUGAAAUGCGUAGAUAUAGGAAGGAACACCAGUGGCGAAGGCGACUACCUGGACUGAUACUGACACUGAGGUGCGAAAGCGUGGGGAGCAAACAGGAUUAGAAACCCCGGUAGUCC
rnacentral:rRNA from 1 species